UACGGAGGGUGCAAGCGUUAUCCGGAUUCACUGGGUUUAAAGGGUGCGUAGGUGGACUGGUAAGUCCGUGGUGAAAUCCCCAAGCUUAACUUGGGAACUGCCGUGGAUACUAUCAGUCUUGAAUACCGUGGAGGUCAGCGGAAUAUGUCAUGUAGCGGUGAAAUGCUUAGAUAUGACAUAGAACACCAAUUGCGAAGGCAGCUGACUACGCGAAUAUUGACACUGAUGCACGAAAGCGUGGGGAGCAAACAGG
rnacentral:rRNA from 1 species